rnacentral:lncRNA from 1 species
GUCAAAUCUGCUGAAGUUUCGAGUAUGAGUUACUAUAUAGCUGACACUAAUGACAAAAAAAAAUGUUUAUAUCGAAAAUGUUAUCAUCGGACAACUCAUUUCGAUACUGUAAUGCCCCAAUAGUCCCACAUUGGAUGGGAUACUGAUUCCGAUUAGUUUAUAUGAGGUCUACACGCUCGUAAUAAUAACUGGGCUUAAGCAUUUUUGGACUGGUGGUUUGGACCCGACGAGGACAUCAGGAUCUAAACAGGGAGAGUUUGUAACGCCCCAAUAGUCCCACAUCGGAUGGGAUACUAAUUCCGAUCAGUUUAUAUGAGGCCUACACGCUAGUAAUAAUAACUGAGCUUAAGCAUUUUGGGCCUGUGGUUGGGCCCAACGAGUUAUUGUUGCUAGCAGGCCGAGUCAUUGCAAUUGCUAUCAGAGCCGAAUACCAGUCGGAAGUGUGAGAGCUAAAUGCUAUGCGGGGUAAAGUGCUACACCAACGGGUUUGGUAGGAGCCACCUCUUGAACCCUUAGGAGUCACUUCUAGAAUCUCACAUCGCCUGGUAAUUCUGGUCCUGCUCUGUCUAUCUGUCUGUGAUUUAGUUUGGACCCGACGAGAAUGUCAGAGUCUAAACAGGGAGAGUUUAUAAUACCCCAAUAGUUCCAUAUCGUAUGGGAUACUGAUUCCGAUCAGUUUAUAUGAGGCCUACAUGCUAGUAAUAAUAACUGGGUUUAAUCAUUUUGGGCCGGUAGUUUGGGCCCAAUGAGUUAUU